AGCGAACGCCGGCGGCAGGCCUAACACAUGCAAGUCGAGCGGCCCUUCGGGGCAGCGGCGGACGGGUGAGUAACGCGUGGGAACGUGCCCUUUGGUACGGAACAACUGAGGGAAACUUCAGCUAAUACCGUAUGUGCCCUACGGGGGAAAGAUUUAUCGCCAUUGGAGCGGCCCGCGUUAGAUUAGCUAGUUGGUAGGGUAAUGGCCUACCAAGGCGACGAUCUAUAGCUGGUCUGAGAGGAUGAUCAGCCACACUGGGACUGAGACACGGCCCAGACCCCUACGGGAGGCAGCAGUGGGGAAUCUUGCGCAAUGGGCGAAAGCCUGACGCAGCCAUGCCGCGUGAAUGAUGAAGGUCUUAGGAUUGUAAAAUUCUUUCACCGGGGACGAUAAUGACGGUACCCGGAGAAGAAGCCCCGGCUAACUUCGUGCCAGCCGCCGCCGUAAUAC
rnacentral:rRNA from 1 species